rnacentral:tRNA from 1 species
AAGAUUUUAAGUUAAGUAAACUGAAGACUUUCAAGGUCUUUUAUGAAUUGUAUAGUUUAAAUCUUG